AUUGAACGCUGGCGGCAUGCUUUACACAUGCAAGUCGAACGGUAACAGGCCGCAAGGUGCUGACGAGUGGCGAACGGGUGAGUAAUGCAUCGGAACGUGCCCAGUCGUGGGGGAUAACGCAGCGAAAGCUGUGCUAAUACCGCAUACGAUCGAUGGAUGAAAGCGGGGCACCGUAAGGCCUCGCGCGAUUGGAGCGGCCGGUGUCAGAUUAGGUAGUUGGUGGGGUAAAGGCCUACCAAGCCGACGAUCUGUAGCUGGUCUGAGAGGACGACCAGCCACACUGGGACUGAGACACGGCCCAGACUCCUACGGGAGGCAGCAGUGGGGAAUUUUGGACAAUGGGCGCAAGCCUGAUCCAGCAAUGCCGCGUGCAGGAAGAAGGCCUUCGGGUUGUAAACUGCUUUUGUACGGAACGAAACGGUCUGGGUUAAUACCCUGGGCUAAUGACGGUACCGUAAGAAUAAGCACCGGCUAACUACGUGCCAGCCGCCGCGGUAA
rnacentral:rRNA from 1 species